CAGCAGUAAACUAUGCCGACGAUGUGAUAUGAAUAUUUUGUAUUACAUAAUAGAAACUAGAGUUUUUUGGCUCUGGGGAUAGUAUGAUCGCAAGAUUGAAAAUUAAAGAAAUUGACGGAAGAAUACCACAAG
rnacentral:rRNA from 1 species